GAUGAAGAACGUAGCGAAAUGCGAUAAGUAAUGUGAAUUGCUGAAUUCAGUGAAUCAUCGAAUCUUUGAACGCACAUUGCGCCCCCUGGUAUUCCGGGGGGCAUGCCUGUUCGAGCGUCAUUUCACCACUCAAGCCUCGCUUGGUAUUGGGCAACGCGGUCCGCCGCGUGCCUCAAAUCGACCGGCUGGGUCUUCUGUCCCCUAAGCGUUGUGGAAACUAUUCGCUAAAGGGUGUUCGGGAGGCUACGCCGUAAAACAACCCCAUUUCUAAGGUUGACCUCGGAUCAGGUAGGGAUACCCGCUGAACUUAAGCAUAUCAAUAAGCGGAGGA
rnacentral:misc_RNA from 1 species